CAAUAGCCCUGAUUGCAGCGGCAUCCUUUUGUGAUGAGGAACGAAGAGCAAAAGAUAUAGCGGAAAGCAGGUUCCUGG
rnacentral:sRNA from 1 species